GAUAAAUUUUAAAGGUUAAAUCGAAGGAGUUAUGAAUAUUAAAUAUGUAUUCUUUCUUAAAUAAAAAUACGGUUUCAGUAUUCUGCCUCCUUCAUAACAAUGAUAUAUAUCGAUAGAGUUCAUUAAAAAUUGAACAAACUUUUUAAAAGAUCUAAAUUUCCGAAUUAUACCGUACAUUUUUUCCGCACUUUUUUAACGCUUAAAGAGUAUUACAAAAUAUUGUAUGAAAAAAUAUAUUAAACCGAUUAUAAUGCAAUAUAAUUUAAUGAUAAAUAAAACUUGGUAAAAUUUCAAAUUUAUAAAGAAACUUUUCGAAAAUGCAAAUUAGUUAUCAUCAAAUAAUAGGCCUAUAACGAUAUGACCUUAAUUUUUCUACAGUUAAUACGAAUCAAUUACUGUAUUUAUAAUUAUUCAUUAACUGUCAGAGCUGGUUUUUUUCUUUGUCAUCAAGUGAGCAUUCGGAGAGUAAUACACGCCCCAGGAGUUCCUUGCAGGUAUUUGUUACGGCCUCUUGUAAAGAUAGUAUUUGUUAUAGCCUGGCGGGGGUUAUUUGUCACGAGGAGGUCUUACCUAAAACGUUAGAUCACUUAUAUAUUUUUAGAUUACGUAUUGCGGAGAGAAACUUAAAAGAUUUCCUAGCAUCUGGAAUCUCCUAUAUAAAGAUUCCAAAGAGUAUACAGUCUUGAAAGUAGUAGGAUCACAUGAAUCAAAAACAAAAACGGAAAUUAUUCUCAAACAUAUACUUUGGCAGUCAUGAAAUGUAUUAACAUUACUAUUAAACAUUUAAAAUUAUUGUUCGAUGCAAUAAAAAUUUCUGUUGCAUUGUUCGUUUUAGGAUUAUUACGCCUAUCGAUUUUUUUUAAAAUUGCAGGAAAUGACAUUCGGAUAUCAACCGUGACACGAGCGGAGCAGUUAAUAAAAAUAGUUCGUAACAUAAAAAAAGACAAUAAAGCUAACCAUUUUUGAGACACUAAAGUUCUAUCUGUAAUAAUUUUUGGUACG
rnacentral:lncRNA from 1 species